UACAGAAAUUAUGAGUACAGAUUUGCUUGAGGAGCUGAUGUCAUCAGAAGUUUUCUCUCCGCUCCUCCGUCUAUCCCCUCCUCCGGGUGACCAUGACUACAUCUAUAACCUGGAUGAGACGGAGGGCCUUUGUGACCUCUUUGACGUUCCCAUUGCCAACCUUUGACCUCCAAACACACCAUACAAUGAGAGUAGUGUACUUAAAAGAACUUUCUUUUUUAUUUACCUUUUUGAAAGGAGAAAAAAAGAAAGUGUGGCUCUGUGUCAGAUCCAUAUUUAUGAUAAGCUGAUUCUGUGUGUAUAUAAAGCUUUUUUAUAUGUGUAUAUUUACUCCAACCCCAAAGCGGCUGACUGAAAAUGAACUUUCCCUGCUAAAUUCAACUGAUCCAAUCUGAUGAAGACAUCAGACAUCCGUACAAACAUUGUAAAAAAACUAUUUUUUAUCACAAAAUAGACUAAAUUCACCAGCAAUGGUUAAUGGUUCCAUGAAAAUACCAGCUAGAUGGCUUUCUAAAUGGUCUUCCUCUUCUAAAGUAGCACCUUUUCACUUAUACAGAUUGUUAAUGAAACGGUGUAUUUCUUGUGUGAUUAUUCUUUUGAAGAAAGCAUGCCUCUAAUGCAUACAUUUUGAGGCGAUUCUGCUUGUAGGCAGAAGUUUGUUCUCAUCUUGCAGCACAUGACAGCUCUUGGAAACACCAUGCCAAAGUAAUUAAGUUACACUAAAAACUUAGUGGGGAAGAUUGCAUUGCAGAAUAGCCUGUUCUUGUGCGUUUGAUACAGUUUGGUGCUACAUGGCGAAAUCUAUUAAGAGUGUCGAUCCUCAGAAAAAGUGAAGGAACAUACUUUGUGUUGGAUGAACCAUUCCUAUUUUGUCUAUUUUGAGUGUGCUUUUUUAAUUGUCUCACAAAAUUAUGGAAGCUAGUUUUCACCAUGGAAUAAAAAAAUUAGAAGGGUAAUUGCAACUCUUUUUCUCCGCAAUUCUGAGAAAAAAAAUGGAGUCGCAGUUGCAAGAAAAAAAAUCAGAAUUGUAGGAAAAAGUUGCAAUUACCUUUUUAUUCUGUUUGAAACUAAAAAAAAUUGAGAUGUAAACUUGAGAGAAUUCAGAGAGAAAAGUCAGAAUUGCGAGAUAAAAACUGUGAAUUACAAUAACUAAUUGUGAGAGAAGAACUCAAUUGUGAGG